UACGGGGGGGGCAAGCGUUGUUCGGAAUUACUGGGCGUAAAGGCUCGUAGGCGGCCAACUAAGUCAGACGUGAAAUCCCUCGGCUUAACCGGGGAACUGCGUCUGAUACUGGAUGGCUUGAGGUUGGGAGAGGGAUGCGGAAUUCCAGGUGUAGCGGUGAAAUGCGUAGAUAUCUGGAGGAACACCGGUGGCGAAGGCGGCAUCCUGGACCAAUUCUGACGCUGAGGAGCGAAAGCCAGGGGAGCAAACGG
rnacentral:rRNA from 1 species